CCUAUGGAAUGGGGAAGUCACGUGGUUCAUGUAGUGUCGAAUAGUUCUAAACAGCCCCGCUGCUGCAUUGACUGCAGUUCAUUUCAACUAUUCGGUGUUUCGGAAGGAUUUUCUCCGAACAAGGCUAUCCCAGCAUGCUUUGCGCGCCGGCUGUGGAUUUUCAACAGGCAGAGAAAGGGGAGAGCUAUGAAGUUUUAAACGACUGCAGGUGUCCAUGGUCAGAAGAGGCUUUACCUGUCCUGGGAGAGAGGCCUUCUAC